rnacentral:rRNA from 1 species
UACAGAGGUCUCAAGCGUUGCUCGGAAUCACUGGGCGUAAAGGGUGCGUAGGCGGGGCUUUAAGUCAGGGGUGAAAUCCUGGAGCUCAACUCCAGAACUGCCUUUGAUACUGAAGAUCUUGAGUCCGGGAGAGGUGAGUGGAACUGCGAGUGUAGAGGUGAAAUUCGUAGAUAUUCGCAAGAACACCAGUGGCGAAGGCGGCUCACUGGCCCGGUACUGACGCUGAGGCACGAAAGCGUGGGGAGCAAACAGG